UAAGAUUCGCAGGACAUUAUCCUGCAUCCUAUGAAUGCAACUCAAAUGCUUUAAUUAAGCUAGAACCUUC
rnacentral:tRNA from 1 species